AAGCAGGGGACCGCAAGGCCUUGUGCUCCUGGAGCGGCCGAUAUCUGAUUAGCUAGUUGGUGGGGUAAAGGCCCACCAAGGCAUCGAUCAGUAGCUGGUCUGAGAGGACGACCAGCCACACUGGAACUGAGACACGGUCCAGACUCCUACGGGAGGCAGCAGUGGGGAAUUUUGGACAAUGGGCGCAAGCCUGAUCCAGCAAUGCCGCGUGAGUGAAGAAGGCCUUCGGGUUGUAAAGCUCUUUUGUCAGGGAAGAAACGGCCGUUUCUAAUACAGAUGGCUAAUGACGGUACCUGAAGAAUAAGCACCGGCUAACUACGUGCCAGCAGCCGCGGUAAUACGUAGGGUGCAAGCGUUAAUCGGAAUUACUGGGCGUAAAGCGUGCGCAGGCGGUUUUGUAAGUCUGUCGUGAAAUCCCCGGGCUCAACCUGGGAAUGGCGAUGGAGACUGCAAGGCUAGAGUUUGGCAGAGGGGGGUAGAAUUCCACGUGUAGCAGUGAAAUGCGUAGAUAUGUGGAGGAACACCGAUGGCGAAGGCAGCCCCCUGGGUCAAAACUGACGCUCAUGCACGAAAGCGUGGGGAGCAAACAGGAUUAGAUACCCUGGUAGUCCACGCCCUAAACGAUGUCUACUAGUUGUCGGGUCUUAAUUGACUUGGUAACGCAGCUAACGCGUGAAGUAGACCGCCUGGGGAGUACGGUCGCAAGAUUAAAACUCAAAGGAAUUGACGGGGACCCGCACAAGCGGUGGAUGAUGUGGAUUAAUUCGAUGCAACGCGAAAAACCUUACCUACCCUUGACAUGGAAGGAAUCCCGGAGAGAUUUGGGAGUGCCCGAAAGGGAACCUUUACACAGGUGCUGCAUGGCUGUCGUCAGCUCGUGUCGUGAGAUGUUGGGUUAAGUCCCGCAACGAGCGCAACCCUUGUCAUUAGUUGCUACGAAAGAGCACUCUAAUGAGACUGCCGGUGACAAACCGGAGGAAGGUGGGGAUGACGUCAAGUCCUCAUGGCCCUUAUGGGUAGGGCUUCACACGUCAUACAAUGGUACAUACAGAGGGCCGCCAACCCGCGAGGGGGAGCUAAUCCCAGAAAGUGUAUCGUAGUCCGGAUUGUAGUCUGCAACUCGACUGCAUGAAGUUGGAAUCGCUAGUAAUCGCGGAUCAGCAUGUCGCGGUGAAUACGUUCCCGGGUCUUGUACACACCGCCCGUCACACCAUGGGAGCGGGUUUUACCAGAAGUAGGUAGCUUAACCGUAAGGAGGGCGCUUACCACGGUAGGAUUCGUGACUGGGGUGAAGUCGUAACAAGGUAGCCGUAUCGGAAGGUGCGGCUG
rnacentral:rRNA from 1 species